rnacentral:lncRNA from 1 species
UGCCUUUAACAUUGCACUUGGUCUUAAAGAUCCAUUUAUAGAUGAUGUUUUUAUAAUUAUCAGGCAAUUAAAUAAGAUCCCAAAUACUGUUAUGAUCCAUAGAUUUCAAUUCUUCUUUCAUAACUUCUAUUCAUUUAUUAGAAUCAUCAGUUUCCAUGGCUUGUGAAAAUGAAAUCAGAUCUUUUCUUAUCUCAAUAUCAAAAUAUUCUUGUAGAUGUACUACAUAAUCAUCUAAU